AUUGAACGCUGGCGGCAUGCCUUACACAUGCAAGUCGAACGGCAGCACGGGGGCAACCCUGGUGGCGAGUGGCGAACGGGUGAGUAACAUAUCGGAACAUACCCUAGAGUGGGGGAUAACGUAGCGAAAGUUACGCUAAUACCGCAUACGAUCUAAGGAUGAAAGUGGGGGAUCUUCGGACCUCAUGCUCAUGGAGUGGCCGAUAUCUGAUUAGCUAGUUGGUGAGGUAAAGGCUCACCAAGGCGACGAUCAGUAGCUGGUUUGAGAGAACGACCAGCCACACUGGAACUGAGACACGGUCCAGACUCCUACGGAGGCAGCAGUGGGGAAUUUUGGGACAAUGGGGGCAACCCUGAUCCAGCAAUGCCGCGUGAGUGAAGAAGGCC
rnacentral:rRNA from 1 species